UCCUACGGGAGGCAGCAGUGGGGAAUAUUGCACAAUGGGGGAAACCCUGAUGCAGCAACGCCGCGUGAGCGAAGAAGGCCUUCGGGUUGUAAAGCUCUGUCCUUAGGGACGAAGAAGUGACGGUACCUAAGGAGGAAGCCCCGGCUAACUACGUGCCAGCAGCCGCGGUAAUACGUAGGGGGCGAGCGUUAUCCGGAAUUAUUGGGCGUAAAGAGUACGUAGGUGGUUUUGUAAGCGCAAGGUGAAAGCCCGGGGCUUAACUCCGGCGAGCCUUGUGAACUGCAAGACUUGAGUGCAGGAGGGGAAAGUGGAAUUCCUAGUGUAGCGGUGAAAUGCGUAGAUAUUAGGAGGAACACCGGUGGCGAAGGCGACUUUCUGGACUGUAACUGACACUGAGGUACGAAAGCGUGGGGAGCAAACAGGAUUAGAUACCCUGGUAGUCC
rnacentral:rRNA from 1 species